rnacentral:rRNA from 1 species
AGAGUUUGAUCAUGGCUCAGGAUGAACGCUAGCGGCAGGCCUAAUACAUGCAAGUCGAGGGGUAACAGGGGAACUUGCUCCUGCUGACGACCGGCAAACGGGUGAGGAACACGUACACAACCUUCCUUCUAGUGGAGGAUAGCCCAGGGAAACUUGGAUUAAUACUCCGUAAGAUGUUAGGGAGGCAUCUCCCAGACAUUAUAGUAGCGAUACGCUAGAAGACGGGUGUGCGUCUGAUUAGGUAGUUGGCGGGGUAACGGCCCACCAAGCCGACGAUCAGUAACUGGUGUGAGAGCACGACCAGUCACACGGGCACUGAGACACGGGCCCGACUCCUACGGGAGGCAGCAGUAAGGAAUAUUGGUCAAUGGACGAAAGUCUGAACCAGCCAUGCCGCGUGAAGGAUGAAGGUCCUCUGGAUUGUAAACUUCUUUUAUAUGGGACGAAAAAAGGGUUUUCUAACUCUACUGACGGUACCAUAUGAAUAAGCACCGGCUAACUCCGUGCCAGCAGCCGCGGUAAUACGGAGGGUGCAAGCGUUAUCCGGAUUUACUGGGUUUAAAGGGAGCGUAGGUGGGCUGUUAAGUCAGUGGUGAAAUCCCGGGGCUCAACCUCGGAACUGCCGUUGAUACUAUCAGUCUUGAAUAUUGUGGAGGCUAGCGGAAUAUGUCAUGUAGCGGUGAAAUGCUUAGAUAUGACAUAGAACACCGAUUGCGAAGGCAGCUGGCUACGCAUAUAUUGACACUGAGGCUCGAAAGCGUGGGUAGCAAACAGGAUUAGAUACCCUGGUAGUCCACGCCCUAAACGAUGGAUACUCGACAUUAGCGAUAUACUGUUAGUGUCUGAGCGAAAGCAUUAAGUAUCCCACCUGGGAAGUACGAUCGCAAGAUUGAAACUCAAAUGAAUUGACGG